AACGCGAAGAACCUUACCAAGGUUUGACAUGGCCGGAAAAGCAUCAGAGAUGGUGUGUCCUUCGGGUCGGUCACAGGUGGUGCAUGGCUGUCGUCAGCUCGUGUCGUGAGAUGUUGGGUUAAGUCCCGCAACGAGCGCAACCCUCGUCCUAUGUUGCCAGCGGGUCAUGCCGGGGACUCAUGGGAGACUGCCGGGGUCAACUCGGAGGAAGGUGGGGAUGACGUCAAGUCAUCAUGCCCCUUAUGUCUUGGGCUGCAAACAUGCUACAAUGGCCGGUACAGAGGGCUGCGAACUCGCGAGAGUAAGCGAAUCCCGGAAAGCCGGUCUCAGUUCGGAUCGGGGUCUGCAACUCGGCCCCGUGAAGCUGGAGUCGCUAGUAAUCGCGGAUCAGCAACGCCGCGGUGAAUACGUUCCCGGGCCUUGUA
rnacentral:rRNA from 1 species